AUUCAGUGCUGUAGUUAACGCAAUAAGUACUCCGCCUGAGUAGUACGUGCGCAAGCAUGAAACUCAAAGGAAUUGACGGGACCCCGCACAAGCGGUGGAUCAUGUUGUUUAAUUCGAUGAUACGCGAAGAACCUUACCAGGUCUUGACAUCCCAUGCAAAGCUUAAGAGAUUAAGUGGAGGUUAUCAUGGAGACAGGUGGUGCAUGGUUGUCGUCAGCUCGUGUCGUGAGAUGUUGGGUUAAGUCCCGCAACGAGCGCAACCCUUAUUGCUAGUUACCAUCAUUAAGUUGGGGACUCUAGCGAGACUGCCAGUGAUAAACUGGAGGAAGGUGGGGAUGACGUCAAAUCAUCAUGCCCCUUAUGACCUGGGCUACAAACGUGAUACAAUGGCUGAAACAAAGGGCAGCGAAGCAGUGAUGUGAAGCGAAACCCAAAAAAGCAGUCUCAGUUCGGAUUGAAGUCUGCAACUCGACUUCAUGAAGUCGGAAUCGCUAGUAAUCGCGAAUCAGAAUGUCGCGGUGAAUACGUUCUCGGGGUUUGUACACACCGCCCGUCAAACCACGAAAGUUGACAAUACCCAAAGCCGGUGGCCUAACCGUAAGGAGGGAGCCGUUUAAGGUAGGGUUGAUGAUUGGGGUUAAGUCGUAACAAGGUAACCAAGGGCGAA
rnacentral:rRNA from 1 species